AGGACUAACGCUGGCGGCGUGCCUAACACAUGCAAGUCGAGCGGGGUAGCAAUACCCAGCGGCAGACGGGUGAGUAACGCGUGGUCAACCUUCCGUUGAAUGGGGGAUAACUAGCCGAAAGGUUAGCUAAUACCGCAUACGAUCUUUUGAAGGCAUCUUUAAAAGAUGAAAGGAGCAAUUCGUUCAACGACGGGACCGCGUCCCAUUAGCUAGAUGGUGGGGUAAUGGCCUACCAUGGCAACGAUGGGUAGCUGGUUUGAGAGAGCGACCAGCCACACUGGGACUGAGAAACGGCCCAGACUCCUACGGGAGGCAGCAGUGAGGAAUUUUCCGCAAUGGGCGAAAGCCUGACGGAGCGACGCCGCGUGUGGGAAGAAGGCCUUCGGGUCGUAAACCACUGUCGAAGGGGACGAUAAUGACGGUACCUUGGAGGAAGGCCCCGGCUAACUACGUGCCAGCAGCCGC
rnacentral:rRNA from 1 species